UUUCCAGACUCCUACGGGAGGCAGCAGUGGGGAAUAUUGCACAAUGGGGGGAACCCUGAUGCAGCGACGCCGCGUGGGCGAGGAAGUAUUUCGGUCUGUAAAGCCCUAUCGGCAGGGAAGAAGAAAUGACGGUACCUGAAUAAGAAGCACCGGCUAAAUACGUGCCAGCAGCCGCCGCAAUACGUAGGGGGCAAGCGUUAUCCGGAUUUACUGGGUGUAAAGGGAGCGUAGACGGAAAGGCAAGUCAGAAGUGAAAGCCCAAGGCUCAACCAUGGGACUGCUUUUGAAACUGUCAAACUAGAGUACGGGAGAGGUAAGAGGAAUUCCUAGUGUAGCGGUGAAAUGCGUAGAUAUUAGGAGGAACACCAGUGGCGAAGGCGUCUUACUGGACCGAAACUGACGUUGAGGCUCGAAAGCGUGGGGAGCAAACAGGAUUAGAUACCCCUGUAAC
rnacentral:rRNA from 1 species